rnacentral:rRNA from 1 species
UACGGGGGGAGCAAACGUUGUUCGGAAUCACUGGGCGUAAAGGGCGUGUAGGCGGCUGAAUGAGUGGGAUGUUAAAUCCCCCGGCUCAACCGGGGGAACUGCAUCUCAUACUGUUCAGCUUGGGUACAGCAGAGGAGACUGGAAUUCCCGGUGUAGCGGUGAAAUGCGUAGAUAUCGGGAGAACACCAGUGGCGAAGGCGGCAAACUGGAUAGGCACUGACACUCAACAACGAAA